CAAGAUGUAGCUUAACUAAAGCCUCAUGUUUACACCAUGAAUAUGUCUAUAUAACUUAGAUCAUUUUGA
rnacentral:tRNA from 1 species